AUAAAAUUGAGAAUGGAAAUGGGGAAUGUGCCAAAGAGACAACAACCCGACCAUAGAAAAAAACAACAGCAGAAGGUCACCAACAAGUCUUCAAUGUAGCGAGAAAUUCCCGCACCCAGAGGCGUCCUUCAGCUGGCCCCUAAACAAAUAUAUACUAGUUCAGUGAUAAUGAACGCCAUACUAAUUUCCAAAUUGUACACAAGAAACUAAAAUUAAAAUAAUACAAGACUAACAAAGGCCAGAGGCUCCCGACUUAGGAUAGGCGCAAAAAUGCGGCGGGGUUAAACAUGUUUGUGAGAUCUCAACCCUCCCCCUAUACCUCUAGCCAAUGUAGAAAAGUAAACG
rnacentral:lncRNA from 1 species